GUAAGGAAUAUUGGUCAAUGGAGGCAACUCUGAACCAGCCAUGCCGCGUGCAGGAAGACGGCCCUCUGGGUUGUAAACUGCUUUUAUCUGGGAAGAAAAAGGCCAUGCGUGGCAAAUUGCCGGUACCAGAUGAAUAAGCACCGGCUAACUCCGUGCCAGCAGCCGCGGUAAUACGGAGGGUGCGAGCGUUGUCCGGAUUUAUUGGGUUUAAAGGGUGCGUAGGCGGCUGAUUAAGUCAGCGGUGAAAGACUUCGGCUUAACCGGAGCAGUGCCGUUGAUACUGGUUGGCUUGAGUGUCGGAGGGGUACAUGGAAUUGAUGGUGUAGCGGUGAAAUGCAUAGAUACCAUCAGGAACACCGAUAGCGAAGGCAUUGUACUGGCCGACAACUGACGCUGAUGCACGAAAGUGUGGGGAUCGAACAGGAUUAGAAACCCCUGUAGUCC
rnacentral:rRNA from 1 species